rnacentral:lncRNA from 1 species
CAGACAUCCUCAUUGAGCUGCAGCUGAUCCAGUCAGGAGGUUUCUUCCCCUUUCCCUGCCAGAGAGUAUCAUUUCUUCAGAUGUGCUGGCAAGCUGCUCAGCAACCUCAGGCCAACCCCAUUCUAGCACUGGCAGACACCAUCCUGCUCCUUGUCUGUUCGGCUCGUACUCCCUACCAAAAAUCCUACCGUUUACUCUGCAGCAAGCCGUCUGUCACCAGUUUCUUCCUUGUAUCCAUCCAACCUUCUUCUUCAACUGCUUUCCUCAGAUCUUGAGGCAUGAACUUGGAAGUGAAUCUCCCCUCCGCUUACUGGCUUGUAUUUUACAUUGAAGAACGUAAACUGAAAGCUGUCCUCCAGGCAUGCAUCUGUGUGCCCCGAUAGUUAAUGAAUGCCAAGUCCAUGGAACCAGACUACAGAUUGAUUGAGGUAAAAUCACUGAACUGCAUACGUGUAUCAUGCAGACGUUGUGU